UACGUAGGGCGCAAGCGUUAUCCGGAAUUAUUGGGCGUAAAGAGCUCGUAGGCGGUUUGUCGCGUCUGCCGUGAAAGUCCGGGGCUCAACUCCGGAUCUGCGGUGGGUACGGGCAGACUAGAGUGAUGUAGGGGAGACUGGAAUUCCUGGUGUAGCGGUGGAAUGCGCAGAUAUCAGGAGGAACACCGAUGGCGAAGGCAGGUCACUGGGCCGCAACUGACGCUGAGGAGCGAAAGCGUGGGGAGCGAACAGG
rnacentral:rRNA from 1 species